rnacentral:lncRNA from 1 species
CCGACUGCGAGCACAACCGCCAUUGUUACUUCCAGCGAAGCAAGGGUAACGCCCUCGCAACCCAGCGAAGCUAGAGUCACGCUUUAGCAAACCCGUGUUCCUCUCCAACUUCCCAGUGAUUGCUCUGCUCGGCUUUCAAGUUGAGUAUCGAUUUGGUGAACGCAAAGAGACCACAUCCAAAGCCCUUACCCGCGUAAGGCAAAGAAGUCCUUCUCCGGAAGGCAAGAAAAGAACCCUGUGACGAGGUUGGUGCUCUCCUCGUCCACAGCGCUUGAAGAAGAAGUCAGGUCACGGGACUACCCCAACGACUGCACCCCGCGGUGCUGGCACGCCUGCGCAAUCACUCGCUC